UUAAAUGACGAGCCAUCCCUAUAGCCUUGUUUCAAGUUUCAAGUAUCAUCAACUAAAUUCUUCAGGUAAUCAUCCACAGUCUGUCUUUCAUCCAACAGGUCGAUCUCCAUACUGUUUCAAAGCCCCCAUGAAGACAAUGAAUGACUGGAGGAGCAGGAAGAUUGCUGCAAAUUCAAGGCCAGAAUAGUUCACAUAGUUCCAGAAGGCCAGGGCUGGCUUCAUAGCUACAUAGUUAGACCUCGUCUCAAACAAAAACAAACAGAGCAAGGAGGAGGAGGACAAGGAUGGAAAGAAAAGAAAAGGGGGAAAAAUGCUGGACUUCUCAGGACGAUGCUGCCAAGGAGCCUUUAAAACUGCCACACUGAGGUGGCCUUAUGGAGCUUUGGCAAACAAGCAUUUACAUCUUGCCAAAUUCUAGAGUUCUAAGAGGGGCAUGUGGCCUGAAGAGCAAGAUCACAGAUUGGUCUCAAAGUUAACAGAACUACUCUGGCUUGUGAAGUUCAACCAAGUAACAGAAAUUUCAUCAUACUGUGGGACGUUUGCCCACCCCAAGCACCUACAACUACGUGGCAAAAAAGAAGGACUCCAUACCAUCUUGCUGAAAAAACAAUGCGCAGAUGCAAAUCUUAACCUGAACAAGACCUGUCUUUUAUGACUGCUGUUACUGGGUGAAUUUCUUCACAAAGGAAAAGCAAAAGCGACAGGAAGUGAUUGACACCCAAGCAAGACCUCUCCUGGCCACCCAGGAGAAGGAGCACCAGUUCCAAGAGCUAUCCUUCCUGAGCACCGCUGCCUGGAGCUCACAGCUGUGGCGCCUCUGGACUGGGGUUCUAAGUUAGUGCCUGGCCUGGCUACAGUCUCAAUGAGUAAACAACUUGAAAAGAAAGAUUACAUUGUAAAAUAAAAUACAAAAGAACCAUUUCAGAACCCUAUGGAGUCUGUUGCUAGCAACACCGACA